AUUGGCAAUGGCAACCAAAUGACAUUUAUUAAAUUAAACGACUAUCUAAGCGUUAACGGAAUAAUUGAUUCUGAGGAUUCAUGCAUACGUGAACGCAGGUGUAUAAGUUUCUGUUACAUCGACAUCUGAAAUGUAUUUCAUAUUAAUUAAUUUAUUUGAAAUUGCAUAAGUUUCACAAACUAAAAAAGUGUAGUUACAAAACAAUAAAAUAUAGCUGACAAGACAACUGUGUGAGCGGCGUUCUAAUAAAUGUGGCGUGAUCAGAAUGCCAGCUAGCCGGCGAAUAAUUGUGGCAUUACUGACAUUGAUACUAAGUCUUCAGGUCGUGUCUGCAAACGAGCUAACACCAACGCACUAUGACAGAGGCCCGACGUGGGUUGAAGUGGCUGAUUCAGUUGCGGAAUUGGGACACCAAAUCGGCGAAGGAAUGCAAACUGUAUGGAACGCUGCUUUGUCCUGGCUCCAAGGAUAAAACUACAUGGCUAAACAUAAACUGUAUAUAUAUUUUUAACUGGAGUCCUCCUUAGAUUAGAGAUACUAAGCAAUAGAAGCUUCUUACAAUGCUAUGGAACCGGGAAAACUCUCCUACCUUCCAGAAUUAUUUUUUUCGUUACUAAGCAACAAAAGCCUCGUUCAAAUGAAUGGUUAUUAAAUUAAACAUUCCUUGUAAAAUAAUAUCUAAGUAUUCUUGUGAUUACUAUACGUAGUAAUAUGUUUUUGUUACGGAAUAAAAUGACUAUAAACAUCGCUGUUUUAUUUAUGUCGUCCACCAUGAGUCCAGGUACUCAGAUAAGCGUUAUGUUUGGGGAUGAAAGUGAUUAAUAGCAUAAUAUGAUGGCGCUGGCACCCAUGUAAAUGCAGGUUUGUAUUUAACGUAAGAUGUAAAAACUAUGUUAUAGAAAUGCU